AAAGUAAAAACCAACCAGUAUCAUUGGCUGGCCAUAUCUCUCCAACAUAUGGGCGGUCUCUCUAAGCUGGGAGAUAUACCUGAACAACUUAAGUUCUGUUGUGAACUAGAUAUUGAAUCACGUUCCAUAACACUAUUGUCGUUCAAACAACU
rnacentral:snoRNA from 1 species